GACGAACGCUGGCGGCGUGCUUAACACAUGCAAGUCGAACGGUGAUGGGUGCUUGCACCUUGAUCAGUGGCGAACGGGUGAGUAACACGUGAGUAACCUGCCCCAGACUCUGGAAUAACCCCGGGAAACCGGUGCUAAUACCGGAUAUGACACAGAAUCGCAUGGUUUCUGUGUGGAAAGUUUUUCGGUUUGGGAUGGACUCGCGGCCUAUCAGCUUGUUGGUGAGGUAAUGGCUCACCAAGGCGACGACGGGUAGCCGGCCUGAGAGGGCGACCGGCCACACUGGGACUGAGACACGGCCCAGACUCCUACGGGAGGCAGCAGUGGGGAAUAUUGCACAAUGGGCGCAAGCCUGAUGCAGCGACGCCGCGUGAGGGAUGAAGGCCUUCGGGUUGUAAACCUCUUUCGGCUCUGAAGAAGCGAAAGUGACGGUAGGAGCAGAAGAAGCACCGGCUAACUACGUGCCAGCCGCCGCCGUAAAAC
rnacentral:rRNA from 1 species